rnacentral:rRNA from 1 species
AUUGAACGCUGGCGGCAUGCCUUACACAUGCAAGUCGAACGGCAGCACGGGAGCAAUCCUGGUGGCGAGUGGCGAACGGGUGAGUAAUAUAUCGGAACGUGCCCAGUCGUGGGGGAUAACGUAGCGAAAGCUACGCUAAUACCGCAUACGAUCUACGGAUGAAAGCGGGGGAUCGCAAGACCUCGCGCGAUUGGAGCGGCCGAUAUCAGAUUAGCUAGUUGGUGAGGUAAAGGCUCACCAAGGCGACGAUCUGUAGCUGGUCUGAGAGGACGACCAGCCACACUGGAACUGAGACACGGCCCAGACUCCUACGGGAGGCAGCAGUGGGGAAUAUUGGACAAUGGGCGAAAGCCUGAUCCAGCAAUGCCGCGUGCAGGAAGAAGGCCUUCGGGUUGUAAACUGCUUUUGUACGGAGCGAAAAGGUCUCCUCUAAUACAGGGGGCUCAUGACGGUACCGUAAGAAUAAGCACCGGCUAACUACGUGCCAGCCGCCGCAGAAA